UCAAAUGUUGAUGAUUUCGGCGAGCUUGAUGGAUUGUGUGAUGAUGGUGGUAAUAUGGUGUUGCAGCGGUGGAUCUAGUGUAUAUGAUUGAGGGUAUUGAACAAUAACUUUGCCGAAGGUGUUGCCAAGUUGAGGUAGCUUUUCGACGAACUUUCUGGUGAGUGAACAAUUAUUUUUGUUUUUUUAAUGAUUCCCAAGUUCAGCUGUGAUGGAGGACAUAAUUUUAGAAAUGCAUAAUUGGUAGGGAAUGAUUGGAAAAAUUUCAACCAUGUUAAUUUCAGGAUUCCACUACCCCAAGGAUCCUCAACUGCUGAAGAGUAAAUACUGAUAGCAAUCAACUGGAAUAACUCUCAAUAAUCAAUGGGAAUAAUAAUAAUGUGUAAUGUAAAGAGCUUGGCCAGAUUAUAUCGCUUCAAAAGCAAAACCCUCAUCUUACUUAGGAAUAGGAAAAGUAUUAAAGAAAUAAAAUACCCUAACUAAAUAAUAAAAGUUCCUAAUCAGUAUAAAAUGUCUUAGACCCCCACUAAUAAAUAAAAUAUCCGAUUACAUCAAUUUUACCCAAUUAAUUAUAAUAAUAUAACUAAAUAAUUAGUGUAAGGAUUUUUUCUUGACUUUAGAUUUGUGAUCACCAUCACCCUAAGGGCGGUUUGUUUAGGACUGAAUACAUCUGAAUGGUUGAAUCGGUCAGCUAUUAAGUGCGUUUAUUUUGGAAAAAAAUCGUCUGAAUGGCUGAAUCAGUCAGAUGAUUGAGCUGAAUGGCUAAGUCAGAUUUUUUUAGCUGAAUGAGCAGCUGAAUAAAGUAAAAUUUUUAAAAAAGUAUUAACUAUUAUAUUAAGUAAUAUUAAAUAAAUUUGCAAUAACUUUGAAUUUUUUCAGAGGGGUAAAAUAAUAAAAUUCUGUCAUUUAGAUCUUUCAGACAUGUUAAUUAUCAAACAACUUUUUUCAUUCAGAUUCAUUCAGUUUUUAUCAAACGCCCCCUAAAUCUAGUAAAGCCCUCGUCACCCUAAUCUAGUAAAUGUUUUGCAUUUCACCUUUAGUUGAUAUGGAUCAUAUAAAAAAAAAGAUUUCUUAGUGUUGAUAUAUUUAGCCCUUAAAUUAACUUGCAUGCAAUUAUUUCAUAGUUGUAGCUUCAUAGUUGGAUACUUUUUUUGUUGUAUCACCCUAAUCUAGUAAUUGUAUGUCAUGUAUUUCACCUUUAAAUUAUUUGGAUUUAAAAAAAAAAUGUCUUUCAAUGUGUUGAUAUAUUUAUCCCUUUAUUUAUCAGGCAAUUAAUUCAUAGUCAUAUACUGCUUUGUUGGGCUGAAGAGGAUUGUUUUUUGGUUUAUCUGAAUCAGCAAAUUGAAUAAAGUGAUAUUAGUUACUAUAUAUGAUAACACUGAUGGGUUGAUUCAGACCUACAUGUAUGCUAUGAAGGGAGGAAAUGUUGGGGUCAAAUUUGAUUACUGUUUAUUCAGUUUACAAGUUCCUACCUUUUCAUAAUAGCUACUUCAGGCUUUAUGGUAAGACCCUAAGGUGAGCAUAACCUCAAAACAGUAACACAACAGAAUCGAUAGAUAAGAAAUAGAGUUUGAGGGAUAAGGAGAGAAAUGGGGAUGAAGGUAGGAGAGGACAGAGAAAAAAAGCCACAACCAUAAGCCCUAAAAUUCAGAUUCUCUUUCCAUAUUCAAGUGCAAAUAGAAUGAUCUCAUGGCUAUAUUUAUUCUAGAUCUCUACUAGGAUUGAGCAAAUGCUCAAGUUAGCAGUCUUGUCACUAUAAUCUAGAAACAAUUAUCACAUGGUCCUGGCUUAUUCUCGAUAUUAUUAACCGACAGACUUUUCCAAUUUACCUUAGGCUGGACAAUCCCCUUUAAAGUAUCCAUGUCCUCAUGGAUUUCAGGAUUGGUAGCAUUCUCUUCAAACUUUCUAGACAAUCCAUUUCAGCAGAAUGUUCUUUUCCCUUCUUGCAGCUGAUUACAUAGUAAUUUUCUGAUAACUUGCUGUAGACAACGCACCACCUUUUUACUCCAGGAAAUACAUUAGGACGAUAAUUUGUUCUGAUUAUGAAUCGUCUUUGACCAAUAUAGGAUAACCAUCUUUUGAGUUUUGAUAGCUUCCACCACUGCCAUUAGUUCUGUUUCAUAAGUUGAAUAGGACUUCCCUUUUGGUCCUAAAGCUUUAAUGAAAUAUUCUAGUGGUCUCCCUUCAUGCGCAAGAACUGCCCUUAUUCCACUGUCUGUUGCAUCAGUUUCUAAUUUCUAUCUCAAAAUUGUUCUUCAAGAUUAGGCAGAGCCAAAAGUGAAUACGUAGAGAGCCUCUUCGAGCUUUGAAAGUGCGUCUGUGUUUCAGUAUUCCACCCAAAGUUCCCUUUUGCAGCAAGGUAUUCCGAUGUUUUGCAGAAGCUUUGUAAGUUCUAGGAACCCCCUCAAUCCUUUAAUAGUGCUAGGUACAGGUCAAUCCAUAUUGUAUUCAACAUUUUGAAGGAUUUACUGCCACAUGCCAUUCUAAGAUUAUGUGUCCUUGGUAUUCAGUUGGUUCUUCUUAUUGAGUUUGUCAUAUAGUUCAUACUUCCUCGUGGUUUUAGAGACUUCCUUGAGAUGAAUGUUCCUCUAUGUUCUUGGAGUAAACCAAAAUAUUAUAAAAAAUAGUAGGACGUACUUUCUUAGGAGCGAUUGGAAUACAUUUCAUGAGGUUUUGAAAUGUAGCUGGAGCAUUAAUUAAUCCAAAGGACAUAACUCAAAAUGACAUUGGUGUCCUAAAAACUGUUUUUCUCAACUCUUGAUGACGGUCAGCUCCUACAUCAAGUUUUUUGAAUACUUAGCUCCUCCUAGUUUAUCCAUAAGCUCAUCAAUCAGUGGAACAGAUACUUGUUUUUGAUGGUUAUAGAAUUUAAAUGCUUGUAAUCCACACCAAACCUCUAGCUUCCAUCUUUUAUCUUCACUAGGAGUAUUGGUGAGGCAUAGGGGGGCUUGGCUUGGUCCGAUAAUACCUGAUUUGAGCAUUUCUACUACCAAUCUUUCAAUUUCAUUAUUCUGGUGAUAGGAACACUAGCAGGGUCUGACUGAAAAACGAGUGGAAAUUAGUUCAAGUGGGAUGUUGUGAUCUAGAUUUCUUGGUGGGGGCAUGCCCUUAGGUUCAUCAAAAUGUUAUUCAAUUUCUUGUAACAAUUAUUCAUUGUACCUCAUUGCUCUCUACUGAGACAUGGCUACCAGGAACACUGAUUAAAUGUGUACGCAUAACGAAAUUGGGGACAAGGAACACCACCAAUUGAUAGAAUGCAUAAGUUAUCAAAGUUCUUGUACCACGAUUUAGAAUUAUAGUACUUGGUACACUAUCCGUCCCACAAAGACCGACUUAGUUUGAAUUUUGAAGUCAGAUUGACCAAUUUUAAAAUCAAAAUUUAUCCAAUUUUCUUUUGAAUACAAGUAAAGAGAUUGAACUAUAAGAAAUUACGUUUAAUUUGCUACAACAUCCAAUUUUUGGAAGUUUAUAAAUAUAAAUAUAUUUGUUUAAUUAUCAAUCUAAAAUUUGUCAAUUUGACCAAAAAAGUCAAAUUAAGCUAGUUUUUGCGGAACAAAUAGAGUAUUACUUACUGACUUUCCCAAUUUACCCUAGUCUUGGCACAUUACCACCAUGCUUCUUUUGGUGCGUGGAAGGGUAGGUAUAGAGGGAGCAUUUGCUAGGGGAAAGGUUGGAAGUAAUUCUCAUUAUGUGUGACGAUUGAAGGGGAGGAUGAGGGAAGGGGAGGAUGAGGAAAGGGGAGUGGUCAAUGUUCUAAAAGGCGCCAGGCGGGAGGCGGGCGAUCAGGGGAGACCUAGCGCCUAGGGGGCUUGGGNNNNNNNNNNNNNNNNNNNNNNNNNNNNNNNNNNNNNNNNNNNNNNNNNNNNNNNNNNNNNNNNNNNNNNNNNNNNNNNNNNNNNNNNNNNNNNNNNNNNNNNNNUAUUAAAUAAUAAAAUUUAAAAUUUCAAGAAUUUAAUUCAAUAUUAAUACUUAAGAAACUAAACAUAAAUUUAAGAAUUAUAUUGAAUUAAACUAAAUAUUACAAAUAUAUCAUCAUUUAUAUAAUUUGAAGUUGGUAAAAGUUCAAAAAAUUACAACUAUAAUAAAAUUAUCUAUUUUGACUUGAUAGUGUUCACUUCUUGUUGUGAUUUGAUAUGCUACAACCUGUAUUAUGAAUAUGGUAAAUCAUUAGAAAAAUAAAUAUAUCAAGAUUUGAUUUGGGUAGUUAUUAAAAUAAAACUAUUUCUUGGAGGGAUUUUUUUGUCGCAUUGGGGGCCUAGCGCCUAGGCGAGGCUCCAAGUGGGGGCCUAGCGCCUAGGCGGGGCAUAGGCGGAUCUAGGCGGAGAUUUUUAGAACACUGGGAGUGGAACCAAUAUUUUGUAAUUUAACUAGAAUACCAUAAUGUCACACGGUGUGUAAAACUAAAAAAGUGUAGCUUUGUUUGACUAGCAACUUCGUAACUCCCUACUCUUUCCUUCCACUUUUAUGUGGAAGAAUGUAAAAUUUAUGAGAGAAAAGAGGUAGAGAAACGCGGUUCACUUUCUUUACUUGUGUUUGUGAGUUUUGGAAGGAAUUUUUUACUUAAAAUAGUAUAUUACUAUUUACCCGUGUAAAAUUGCAUUUGAAAACUAAUAUAAGAAUAGUUUUGGUAUUUUAAUAUGUCAUCUAAGUCUUCAUUUCCUUCCAAAUCUUCCCAAGUUUGGGAGGAAUUUUUUUUAAAAAAAUCUUUUUUUAUCUCUCCUAGAAAAACUCACAAACAAGGACUUUUGAUCUCUCCCUAAAUUUCUCUCCUUUCUUUUCUCUCUUUUUAAAAACUCACAAACAUUGUUUGGGUGGAAUAGUUUUGCGGACGAGGAGGGGUAGGGAAACAUCUUUUACUUCCCUUACCCUUUUCCUCCCUACCAAUCACGUUACAUACCCCAAUUACUUCAUCUUUUACUUCCACCCCUCUAAUCCUCCUCUUUUACUUCCUAUCAAACAAAGUCUUCUAAGAUAAUCAGUCUUUAGGCAUUAAUACUUGAAAGGGGUCACUGAUGCCUUAUGAUGGUCUUUUUCCACAAAUUAAAAUAUAGUUAAUGUGCAUAUGAAGUACGUUUCGUCUCUGUUUAGCUGGGUAAAUUAGAAAGCUUGUUUGUUUUAAUGUCAUGUCUUUAUCUUUGCAUGUAGCAGUUCUCGAAGACGUCGCUCUCGCUUCUAUGACAAUUAGGUAUGACUGCCUAUCCUGCAUUCCUUUCGUGUAGCUUUGUUUGCCUAUUUGAUGUCCCUUACUUUGCGUUUGAGCUUCAUUUUAAUGAUUCAAUUGAUAGUUUAAGUUUCUGGUCACUUGACUGAUGGCGUUCUCAAUUUUGCUAGCAUGCCCGAAACAAAGUGGAUUAUUGCUGCAGAUGUUGAUCCAUUCUUAGUUGAAUGCAUUGAAAAAGCAAUUUCAAACUUGCAGAAGCUUGCUGAAGAAAAUGUGUUAUCAGAUGUGCCCACUAGACAUGAUUUUGAAGUUCAUGUGAUUAUGUUGAGGCUGCUUUUCUUAUAUUUAUAUUUUGUCACAUUAAGUUGGCUGUUUUUGUUUAUUUUCAGGAUAUAGUUCAAUAAAGUGUUUAGAAAGAGGUUUAUAGAUCUGAAGUCCUUCAAGUUGUAAUUUAUUAACCACCUUUUCAGUUAAGCUGCAUUUCAUAUAAACUACUGGUAUCAUGCUUAUUGUUUGAUAUUAGUUCGUAUAAACUAUUGGUAUCAUGGUUGGUUAAGAGGCGUUGACGUGUGAUGAUCCUUGCGCUUCAUCUUGAAUGGAGUGGUGAUUUAUCGAGUAUAGGUCCGGGGACAGUCGACAGAUAGCCCCAAUCCCC
rnacentral:lncRNA from 1 species